AUGGCUCAGACGAACGCUGGCGGCGCGUUUAAGCAUGCAAGUCGAGCGGCAAGGGCCUUCGGGCCCUAGAGCGGCGGACGGGUGAGUAACACGUGGACAAUCUGCCCCCGGCCCGGGAUAGCCCAGGGAAACCUGGAUUAAUACCGGAUGAGACGGGACCCGCGAUGGCGGGAUCCGGGAAAGGCGCUGCGGCGCCGCCGGGGGAUGAGUCUGCGUCCCAUUAGCUAGACGGCGGGGUAACGGCCCACCGUGGCGACGAUGGGUAGCCGGCCUGAGAGGGUGGACGGCCACAUUGGAACUGAGACACGGUCCAGACUCCUACGGGAGGCAGCAGCUAAGAAUCUUCCGCAAUGGGCGAAAGCCUGACGGAAGCGACGCCGCGUGAACGAAGAAGGCCGUGAGGUUGUAAAGUUCUUUUCGGGAGGGGGAACAACCGGGGCAGGGAAUGGCCGCGGGAUGACGUGAAUCCCGGAAUAAGCCCCGGCUAACUACGUGCCAGCAGCGGC
rnacentral:rRNA from 1 species